GGAGAGGUGGCCGAGCGGUUGAAGGCGCUCGUCUCGAAAACGAGUAGAUCGAAAGGUCUCGCGGGUUCGAAUCCCGCCCUCUCCGCCA
rnacentral:tRNA from 2 species